rnacentral:tRNA from 1 species
UUAAUUGAAACCAAAAUUUGAGGUAUAUCACUGUUAAUGAUAAAAAUGAGUUUAAUCUCCAAUUAA